rnacentral:rRNA from 1 species
AGUGUUGAUAGGCCUUGGAAGGGCACUUCAACCCCGUGUGACCAUACCGAUCGUAAGUUGUUUGCUGCCUACACUAGCAUUCAGCUAGGAGGCGGAAGGAAAGCGCGUUUCUGGACUGAUAGAUGGCUGCAUGGGAUGGCCCCCAUGGACCUUGCAGCUGCACUGUACAAGUUGUCCCGAAGGAAACAAUUGUCUGUCCGUGCCGGUCUUCAUGAUAACCACUAGAUGGUUGGUCCGAACAAGAUCAACAACGCCCUGACCCUCGACUCCCUACUGAAUCUUUGGACAGCCCUGCAGCAGGUCCUACUCACUGAUUGGGAGGAUGAAAUCACUUGGAUCCACUCCCCGAAUGGAUGCUACAGCACUAAGUUGGCAUACAACAUCCAGUUCAUCACUCGAAUUGCAAUGCCGCAACUUGAACAAGUAUGGAAAAUCAAGGUUGAGCCUAAGGUCAUAUUUUUCAUUUGGACCUUGCUCCAGAACAGGCUGUGGACUGCCGAUCGUCUUGCGAUUCGAGGAUGGCCUCACAAUGAUCGCUGCAGCACCUGUGAUCAACUUUCGGAGUCUGUGCAACACCUCUUGCUAGACUACCCUUUUGCCAAGGAGAUCUGGCAUUCCUUUGAGUCUUGGCGUCCUGAGGUCACUGCUGCUGCCCUCUCUGCCACCUCUAUUCAGUCCUGGUGGACUACUUCAACCAGAUGCAAGAUCUUACAUGACAAUCUCCAUGCACCUACUGUGACGGCAUACAUUGCUUGGAAUAUUUGGAACGAGCGAAAUAGGAGGGUUUUCCAACAGAAGACGGCAAUUGCGCCUGGGGUUCAUGCUAUGAUUAGAGAUGAGAUAGGCCUCUUUGCUGGGGCAUGGGAGUUUUAG